AGAACUGCCUGCAGUUCCUCCCAGCAGCCACCUUCUUCCUUCUGCCAAUGCGACUCUUCUCCUUCUGGGGUUCUUUGGCUGAGACUGGGCCAGUGAGCAGCUGAGACUGGAGAUGGGUGAGAGCUGGAACAUCUGCUGCUUCUUUUGGAAAGGGGUAAAGAAAAGGGCUUCAGAAAAGGAAGUCAGAGAUACGAAGAAUGAGAGGGAUUUGAUGCACAGUCACUAGCUUGAAGAUUGGAGGGGCCAUAUGGCAGGUCUGCAGGUGUCCUCCAGGAGUUGAAAGUAUCCUCUUACUGACAGUGGCAUGGAAAUAGUGACCUCAGUCUUACAACCACGGGGAACUGAAUUUUGUCAACAACAAGAAUGGGUUUAUAAGCAGAUUUUUACCCAACCUCCCCGCCAAGACAAGAACUAAGCUCAGAUGACAACUUGAUUUCAACCUAUGAAACCCCAAGCAGAAAACUCAGCCACACUGUGUCAUUCUGACCUAGAGGACUAAGAACAAGUUCACCAUUCAAUUGAAGUAAUUUGUUACAUGGCAAGAGCAGACCAACAUGAAUACCAUCUAUGUGCUGAUGACUUAAAUGUGUAUAUUUAGCUCAGCUUCACUCUUGACCUCCAGUCUUAUGAAUCUUCAUUAGUAUGAAUAAAACAGAAAUUUUGACUC
rnacentral:lncRNA from 1 species